rnacentral:rRNA from 1 species
AUUGAACGCUGGCGGCAUGCCUUACACAUGCAAGUCGAACGGUAACGCGGGGCAACCUGGCGACGAGUGGCGAACGGGUGAGUAAUGUAUCGGAACGUGCCCAGUUGUGGGGGAUAACUGCUCGAAAGAGCAGCUAAUACCGCAUACGACCUGAGGGUGAAAGCGGGGGAUCGCAAGACCUCGCGCAAUUGGAGCGGCCGAUAUCAGAUUAGGUAGUUGGUGGGGUAAAGGCUCACCAAGCCAACGAUCUGUAGCUGGUCUGAGAGGACGACCAGCCACACGGGGACUGAGACACGGCCCAGACUCCUACGGGAGGCAGCAGUGGGGAAUUUUGGACAAUGGACGCAAGUCUGAUCCAGCCAUGCCGCGUGCGGGAAGAAGGCCUUCGGGUUGUAAACCGCUUUUGUCAGGGAAGAAACGCUCUGGGUUAAUACCUCGGGGUAAUGACGGUACCUGGAGAAUAAGCACCGGCUAACUACGUGCCAGCCGCCGCCGUAAAAC